rnacentral:rRNA from 1 species
GACGAACGCUGGCGGCGUGCUUAACACAUGCCAGUCGAACGGAAAGGCCCUGCUUUUGUGGGGUGCUCGAGUGGCGAACGGGUGAGUAACACGUGAGUAACCUGCCCUUGACUUUGGGAUAACUUCAGGAAACUGGGGCUAAUACCGGAUAGGAGCUCCUGCUGCAUGGUGGGGGUUGGAAAGUUUCGGCGGUUGGGGAUGGACUCGCGGCUUAUCAGCUUGUUGGUGGGGUAGUGGCUUACCAAGGCUUUGACGGGUAGCCGGCCUGAGAGGGUGACCGGCCACAUUGGGACUGAGAUACGGCCCAGACGCAUACGGGAGGCAGCAGUGGGGAAUAUUGCACAAUGGGCGGAAGCCUGAUGCAGCAACGCCGCGUGCGGGAUGACGGCCUUCGGGUUGUAAACCGCUUUCGCCUGUGACGAAGCGUGAGUGACGGUAAUGGGUAAAGAAGCACCGGCUAACUACGUG